AAAAAACUAGUUUAAUUUAAAAUUUAGAAUUGUCAGUUCUAAGAUGCUUAGGUAUAAAAAGCGUUUUUUG
rnacentral:tRNA from 1 species